CGCAAGGUAGAGUAAGCGGUUUAACUCGAUAGUUUCAUAUGCUAUAGUUCUGGGUUCGAGUCCCGGCUUUGCAACAA
rnacentral:tRNA from 1 species